GGGAGGUUUACUCUAGGAAUACAAUGUUAAGGAUCCAAUUACUUCAUCUGCCUGUGUCGAUGAGCACCUGAGCUUGGUGUCUGAUCAGUCUAACUUUCCCGACAGCAGGGUUGUUUGUGUAUGUUCCAGCUCCGGAAGCAUGGUUCUGAUUCAGGUUAAUUUGGAUGCCACCGAAGGUGCAAGUCCAAGGAAUUUCAAUGUUGAGGAAUUAGCAGGUCUCUACAGGAACAAUGAGUUGUUCUAUAUAGAUGAUUUUUGUUGUAAAUUAUAUUGCUUCUUGUUAUCAAUGUUUUAACAGUUGCAUGAGCAUCCUUAAUCGUUCUCGCACCCAAGGUGACAACUGGGUUGCAUUUGUUGAUUUAUGAAAAUGCAAAAGCUUGUUUUUGGUCAAUAGGAAUCUUCAUUUUUAUUUUUUUUAAACGUUUAGGUGCAAUUUGUUAUCAUAUGAAAUUAUGACUCCUACAAUUUAUCUGA